rnacentral:rRNA from 1 species
AUUGAACGCUGGCGGCAUGCCUUACACAUGCAAGUCGAACGGCAGCACGGGUGCUUGCACCUGGUGGCGAGUGGCGAACGGGUGAGUAAUAUAUCGGAACGUACCUUAUUGUGGGGGAUAACGCAGCGAAAGCUGUGCUAAUACCGCAUAAUCCCUAAGGGGGAAAGCGGGGGACCGUAAGGCCUCGCGCAAUUAGAGCGGCCGAUACCUGAUUAGCUAGUUGGUGAGGUAAAGGCUCACCAAGGCAACGAUCAGUAGCUGGUCUGAGAGGACGAGCAGCCACGCGGGGACUGGGACGCGGCCCAGGAGCCUACGGGGGGCAGCAGUGGGGAAUUUUGGACAAUGGGGGCAACCCUGAUCCAGCAAUGCCGCGUGAGUGAAGAAGGCCUUCGGGUUGUAAAGCUCUUUUGUCAGGGAAGAAACAGCAGCUCUAACACAGUUUGCGAAUGACGGUACCUGAAGAAUAAGCACCGGCUAACUACGUGCCAGCAGCCGCCGUAA